rnacentral:piRNA from 1 species
UACCAGCACUGCUGUUGUGGCUACUUUGG